UAGCCAUGGGCAGGUUGAAGGUUGGGUAACACUAACUGGAGGACCGAACCGACUAAUGUUGAAAAAUUAGCGGAUGACUUGUGGCUGGGGGUGAAAGGCCAAUCAAACCGGGAGAUAGCUGGUUCUCCCCGAAAGCUAUUUAGGUAGCGCCUCGUGAAUUCAUCUCCGGGGGUAGAGCACUGUUUCGGCAAGGGGGUCAUCCCGACUUACCAACCCGAUGCAAACUGCGAAUACCGGAGAAUGUUAUCACGGGAGACACACGGCGGGUGCUAACGUCCGUCGUGAAGAGGGAAACAACCCAGACCGCCAGCUAAGGUCCCAAAGUCAUGGUUAAGUGGGAAACGAUGUGGGAAGGCCCAGACAGCCAGGAUGUUGGCUUAGAAGCAGCCAUCAUUUAAAGAAAGCGUAAUAGCUCACUGGUCNAUGCAAACUGCGAAUACCGGAGAAUGUUAUCACGGGAGACACACGGCGGGUGCUAACGUCCGUCGUGAAGAGGGAAACAACCCAGACCGCCAGCUAAGGUCCCAAAGUCAUGGUUAAGUGGGAAACGAUGUGGGAAGGCCCAGACAGCCAGGAUGUUGGCUUAGAAGCAGCCAUCAUUUAAAGAAAGCGUAAUAGCUCACUGGUCGAGUCGGCCUGCGCGGAAGAUGUAACGGGGCUAAACCAUGCACCGAAGCUGCGGCAGCGACGCUUAUGCGUUGUUGGGUAGGGGAGCGUUCUGUAAGCCUGUGAAGGUGUACUGUGAGGUAUGCUGGAGGUAUCAGAAGUGCGAAUGCUGACAUAAGUAACGAUAAAGCGGGUGAAAAGCCCGCUCGCCGGAAGACCAAGGGUUCCUGUCCAACGUUAAUCGGGGCAGGGUGAGUCGACCCCUAAGGCGAGGCCGAAAGGCGUAGUCGAUGGGAAACAGGUUAAUAUUCCUGUACUUGGUGUUACUGCGAAGGGGGGACGGAGAAGGCUAUGUUGGCCGGGCGACGGUUGUCCCGGUUUAAGCGUGUAGGCUGGUUUUCCAGGCAAAUCCGGAAAAUCAAGGCUGAGGCGUGAUGACGAGGCACUACGGUGCUGAAGCAACAAAUGCCCUGCUUCCAGGAAAAGCCUCUAAGCAUCAGGUAACAUCAAAUCGUACCCCAAACCGACACAGGUGGUCAGGUAGAGAAUACCAAGGCGCUUGAGAGAACUCGGGUGAAGGAACUAGGCAAAAUGGUGCCGUAACUUCGGGAGAAGGCACGCUGAUAUGUAGGUGAAGCGACUUGCUCGUGGAGCUGAAAUCAGUCGAAGAUACCAGCUGGCUGCAACUGUUUAUUAAAAACACAGCACUGUGCAAACACGAAAGUGGACGUAUACGGUGUGACGCCUGCCCGGUGCCGGAAGGUUAAUUGAUGGGGUUAGCGGUAACGCGAAGCUCUUGAUCGAAGCCCCGGUAAACGGCGGCCGUAACUAUAACGGUCCUAAGGUAGCGAAAUUCCUUGUCGGGUAAGUUCCGACCUGCACGAAUGGCGUAAUGAUGGCCAGGCUGUCUCCACCCGAGACUCAGUGAAAUUGAACUCGCUGUGAAGAUGCAGUGUACCCGCGGCAAGACGGAAAGACCCCGUGAACCUUUACUAUAGCUUGACACUGAACAUUGAGCCUUGAUGUGUAGGAUAGGUGGGAGGCUUUGAAGUGUGGACGCCAGUCUGCAUGGAGCCGACCUUGAAAUACCACCCUUUAAUGUUUGAUGUUCUAACGUUGGCCCGUAAUCCGGGUUGCGGACAGUGUCUGGUGGGUAGUUUGACUGGGGCGGUCUCCUCCUAAAGAGUAACGGAGGAGCACGAAGGUUGGCUAAUCCUGGUCGGACAUCAGG
rnacentral:rRNA from 1 species